rnacentral:tmRNA from 2 species
GUUGGGUGCUGCAAGGUUCCCGAUAAUGGUUGUGAACCUUCUUCUUGAAGGCCUUCUGGACGGCGGUUCGAUUCCGCCCAGGUCCACCA